rnacentral:rRNA from 1 species
GACGAACGCUGGCGGCGUGCUUAACACAUGCAAGUCGAACGGUAAGGCCCUUCGGGGUACACGAGUGGCGAACGGGUGAGUAACACGUGGGUGAUCUACCCUGCACUUCGGGAUAAGCCUGGGAAACUGGGUCUAAUACCGGAUAGGACCACUGCCUGCAUGGGUGGUGGUGGAAAGCUUUUGCGGUGUGGGAUGGGCCCGCGGCCUAUCAGCUUGUUGGUGGGGUGAUGGCCUACCAAGGCGACAACGGGUAGCCGGCCUGAGAGGGUGACCGGCCACACUGGGACUGAGAUACGGCCCAGACUCCUACGGGAGGCAGCAGUGGGGAAUAUUGCACAAUGGGCGCAAGCCUGAUGCAGCGACGCCGCGUGAGGGAUGACGGCCUUCGGGUUGUAAACCUCUUUCAGCACCGACGAAGCGCAAGUGACGGUAGGUGCAGAAGAAGGACCGGCCAACUACGUGCCAGCCGCCGCAGUAA